rnacentral:misc_RNA from 1 species
UCUCCGUAGGUGAACCUGCGGAGGGAUCAUUACUGAGUGAGGGGCUCCGGCCCCAGACCUCCAACCCAUUGUUAUCCGACACUGUUGCCUCGGGGGCGACCCGGCCCUCUGGGCGUCGGGGCCCCCGGUGGCUCACACCUCAACUCUUGCAUCUGUGCGUCUGAGUAACAUAAUGAAUCAAUCAAAACUCUCAACAACGGAUCUCUUGGUUCUGGCAUCGAUGAAGAACGCAGC